GUACCACCGGGCACGGCACCCGCUCCGCCGCCGACCCUGCAUGGACGGCUGCCCCUGUCCUGUCCGUGCUCUGCCCGCGGUACCUGCGCUCCGCCCGCCGCUCCGUCCCCGUGAGGGGCCCGGGCUCGCCCCCUGCCCUCACCGGUAAUGGCCGCGCGCGCGCCAGCGCCGCUCCCAGCGACCGCAGGUCCGAGAGCGGCUCCGAGCUUCGCGGGGCCUGGCGCACCGGGAACCUGGGGACACACAGCUGCUAAAUCCGCCUUGUUACAAACAUCCCUGAUUUCUGACAAGUUUGGAGUCAGCACAGCAUCUUAACACUAAGGCUGCAGUUCCCUGAAGAACACCUCAAAUGAGAGCUUGGUGUGUGACUGAUGAUAAAACAUGACCUCGUUAGCAGUAUAGAGAUCUCUUCUUUUGUCCCACCUGUGUGUGUUCAGAAGAGAGGUGUCUUCUUCUACACAUCCUCCCAAACUCCAGCAAUAAAUGGAAGGUCUCUGAGAACUAAA